rnacentral:rRNA from 1 species
AUACGGAGGAUCCGAGCGUUAUCCGGAUUUAUUGGGUUUAAAGGGUGCGCAGGCGGCCAUUUAAGUCAGCGGUUAAAUCGUGGGGCUCAACCCCAUUCUGCCGUUGAUACUGGGUGGCUUGAUUGCGGUCGAGGUUGGCGGAAUUCGUUGUGUAGCGGUGAAAUGCAUAGGUAUGACGAAGAACACCGAUUGCGUAGGCAGCUGACCAAAUCGCAAAUGCCGCUCAUGCACGAAAGUGCGGGGAUCGAACAGGAUUAGAUACCCUGGUAGUCCACGCGGUAACCGAUGAUUACUGGCUGUUUGCGAUACAAUGUAAGCGGCUGAGCGAAAGCGUUAAGUGAUCCACCUGGGGAGUACGUUCGUAAGAAUGAAACUCAAAUGAAUUGGCGGGG